rnacentral:sRNA from 1 species
AUAUUAAUGUAUAUAUAAUCAGAUAAACAUUGUGUGGUACAAGUACUCGUACCACUUAACGCUUGUUUGUUUGGUGGAAGUAGGGCGACUCAAAAUAAUAAAGGACCCAGAGCUGAAAAAAAAAAUAGUUCUCAUUUCCUGUGUUUUGUUAUGCAAAUUCUUUUUUGGAUCGUAAUUGUACUAGAUUUACUUUAAAAAAAAAGAGAAAUUUUGGGUGGACCUGUACAUCAGCUCCUCCAGCACAUGUGUAGAGCCGGGCCUGGGUGGAAGGUAAGAACAAAAGAAAGAAAGAAAAAGAAUGCACGUAUUUAAGACCAUUUUGUUACACCAAGCAACAGCCACCACCAUCUAAGAUGGUACGGUAACAUACGUUUGAACCGUUAAAUCAACGGCUGCAACCGCAGCUACAAUUAUCGCAAUUAUUCAUGUAUGUUUAUACGGAAUUAAUGUUCAAACAAAAAGGAUUUUCAAUUAACAAACACAAUCAAAUCUCUCUUUCUUUUCCUUCUCUAUUAG